rnacentral:tRNA from 1 species
GCGCGGUUAGCUCAGCUGGAUAGAGCGUCGGCCUCCGGAGCCGAAGGCCAUGGGUUCGAAUCCCGUACCGCGUA